rnacentral:piRNA from 1 species
UAGGCUGUGUCAAGUAGCUGGCCCUCA